UGAUCUUGUUAGGUUAUGGGUUGUGCAUCUUCAGCUGCAGAUAGGAAUUCGGGACGGGCUGCUGGACUUAAUCCUGAUAAUGGUGGAGCAUAUGACCCUAAGAAUCUUAAAGUGAAGCUGGUACUCUUGGGUGAUUCUGGUGUUGGUAAAAGUUGUAUUGUUCUGCGCUUUGUACGUGGUCAAUUUGAUCCGACAUCUAAGGUGACUGUAGGAGCUUCUUUUCUGUCUCAAACAAUAGCCUUGCAGGACUCAACUACAGUUAAAUUUGAAAUAUGGGA
rnacentral:misc_RNA from 1 species